rnacentral:rRNA from 1 species
GACGAACGCUGGCGGCGUGCUUAACACAUGCAAGUCGAACGGUAAGGCCCUUCGGGGUACACGAGUGGCGAACGGGUGAGUAACACGUGGGUGAUCUGCCCUGCACUUCGGGAUAAGCCUGGGAAACUGGGUCUAAUACCGGAUAGGACCACUGCCUGCAUGGGUGGUGGUGGAAAGCUUUUGCGGUGUGGGAUGGGCCUGCGGCGGAUUAGCUUGUUGGUGGGGGGAUGGCCUACCAAGGCGACGACGGGUAGCCGGCCUGAGGGGGUGACCGGCCACACUGGGACUGGAAUACGGCCCAGACUCCGACGGGAGGCAGCAGUGGGGAAUAUUGCACAAUGGGCGCAAGCCUGAUGCAGCGACGCCGCGUGAGGGAUGACGGCCUUCGGGUUGUAAACCUCUUUCAGCACCGACGAAGCGAAAGUGACGGUAGGUGCAGAAGAAGGACCGGCCAACUACGUGCCAGCAGCCGCCGUAA